UGAAUGUAUAAGGCUGGGUUUGGCCAACAAACAGUAGCUCACCGUAGGGAUGUAACGACAGGAGCUGACAGACUCGUUGACGCCCAUCCAGUGAUGGAAGUCCGGAUACUCUCCUCUCUUCAGGUUAACAGAUGCCAUACAGCUUCCAGCAAGAGCUACAACAUGUGCAGGCGCUGGAACACUCACAGGUUUUUCACUCUUCAUGUGCUUUAAAUGGGCUGGAUUCAGAGUAUGAAGGCGUAAAAGCGAUUGGAUCCAGAUUAGAACUCUGUGAUUCUGCGGAAGGAGCCAGUGGUGGCGCAGGUGGCCCCCCAGUCACUGAACUUGCGGUACUCCCCGGGCUUCAUGAAGUACUGCCUGCCGCGGUA